GAGAGUCGUUGUGGGCCCCUGACUCUGGCUGCUGGGUCACUGGCCAAAAGACCCAGACACACUCUCACCACGGGGGAAUGUUCUGCUUUACGCCCGGCAGCCACGCGGCGCCUCUUAGAGGAAAAUUGUGGAGAGCUUCAUCGUUAAUCGACAAUACACGGACUCUAUUUUGAAAAAAAAAUGAAAAAAACGAUUUAUGUCGUUCAUGCUAGACGUAAACGUAAGAGGCAGUGUUUUGGAAGGUGAAGUCGUGGACAAUGUUUUGGAUGGAUAGCCUGCCACGCUGCCUCUGUGACAGUUAGUUGUGGUCACAGCACAAGAAGAUGAGAGGCUUUAUUGAGGUUUGUGUAAUCUAAAGGGCUCUCCCUCAACCCUUUGCCAUCCCGAUUAGUUGUUGCUGUGAAAAUUGAACAGCCUUGCUGGUGUGAGUGCUAUGGCGCUGCAGUGUCAGACAGACAGAGACAGGGUGGCAGUCUGCUCCUCUACCGCAGGCCCCUUACUGAGCGCUGCUGUGCUCUCUCAAACCACUAGAACGUGCUCUUCAACAGAUUAUCCACACAGUCCUCCCUCUCUCAUCUCCCUCUCCUCGAGAGCAGGGCCUUGCCCUAGGCUCUGCUUCUAAUUUGUAAAAGAGGCAGAAAGAAUGCAAUUUCUAACUGUGAAAGCAGUGUAAAACCAACACAGACGGUACUCCCAAGGUUCUAGCGCCAGAGCCGGUAUGGUAUAAACAUUCAUAGACUGGGUCCAUCCGGCCAGCACUGGACCCUGUACCUCGAUAUCCCCAGCAGGACUAAAGCCUUACUGCUGGAUUCCCAUAACACCGAGCUCUGGAAACAGAGAGGAUGAUGAUGAUGAUGAUGAUGUACAAUACAGAACAGCCAUACAUUGAUUUUGUGAAAAAAAUAUGAUUAUUAUUAAAGACUUAUUAUGAUUGUUGAAGAUAAUGAUAUUUCUACAACAUAGGGAAAACCAUGGAAAUAGUUUGACAUAGUAAUUGUAUUUCUAUGGGGAAAACAAGUGGAAUGACAUAAUCAGACUUAAAAACCGGAGUCCCUUGAAAGAGAGGUUUUGUAUUGCACUCAUAAUCUAUUUCCUCCCACUUCACAUGAGCUUGAAAGGAGCAGGAAGAGCAGAUGACUUUGAUUGACAGGCAGAAGGGGCUGUGGAUGUAUCUGUGUCUGGUUGGAGGGGAGGGAUGGGUAACUUCCCUGACUGACAGGCAGGGGGCGGGACUCUCCACAUCCAGAUGGACAGAGGAAGAAACACGACUGCUCUUGGCUCAACCUCCUCCUCUUCAGAUGGCCAUGUCCAAUUAGAACCACUGAACUCAGACCUGUUUCUAUUUUAUGACCUAAAUGACACAACUAGCUUUUCAUCUAUUGAUGUGUUUUCUUUUCUUAUGUAGUUCUAGUUCAAUAUGCUGACAUAUAGGCUAGGUUUUACAUUUACGUACAACACAGUAAGGAAUAUACUUACUGAAUUAGAAACACUUAUUCCUAACGUAUAAUAGAGAUAUAUAAAAAAAUAAAAAUAAAAAUGUGUCUAUCUAAUGUUAAGUUAAAAUACCAA